GAGUCAUCUACAGGGCUAAGAAUCUUACCUUUACUUAGAGAGGGGUAGCGGUACCACGCUCUUCCGUGCUCGUAGGUUGACUCACCUAUGCAUCCCGACUAAGGUCUCACAAACGUGCACUUCCCUUAUGCAUCCAACCGCUUCACUAAUGUGAAUAGGUUAUACAGAAGGGUAGGUUGGUUAUAUACUCUUAUGCGCCUUCCUUCUUCGAACCUUUUGGUAUGUAUUGCCCCCUAACUAUAGAUCAGAUCCACCAGACAAGAAACUCAAUUCCGCACUGCUGCUGAGUCGUCGGACUUAUCCACCAAGGGAUUCGUGGAAUUUCUGUGGAUUGC
rnacentral:lncRNA from 1 species